GGUGGUAUAGUGUAGUGGUUAGCAUAGAACGUUGUGGCUUCCAACUCCAGCGUCCGUUCUGACCUCGGUUCGAUUCCGAGUGCCGCCA
rnacentral:tRNA from 2 species